ACAACGCCGCGUGGGAGGAUAGAACGCCCCUUGGGGGCGUAAACUCCUUUCGAUAGGGACGAUAAUGACGGUACCUAUAGAAGAAAGCCCCCGGCUAACUUCGUGC
rnacentral:rRNA from 1 species